rnacentral:rRNA from 1 species
GCCUACGGGUGGCUGCAGUGGGGAAUAUUGGACAAUGGGCGAAAGCCUGAUCCAGCCAUGCCGCGUGUGUGAAGAAGGCCUUCGGGUUGUAAAGCACUUUCAGUGGGGAAGAAAGCCUUGGGGCUAAUACCCUCGAGGAAGGACAUCACCCACAGAAGAAGCACCGGCUAACUCCGUGCCAGCAGCCGCGGUAAUACGGAGGGUGCGAGCGUUAAUCGGAAUUACUGGGCGUAAAGCGCGCGUAGGCGGUCUGAUAAGCCGGUUGUGAAAGCCCCGGGCUCAACCUGGGAACGGCAUCCGGAACUGUCAGGAUAGAGUGCAGGAGAGGAAGGUAGAAUUCCCGGUGUAGCGGUGAAAUGCGUAGAGAUCGGGAGGAAUACCAGUGGCGAAGGCGGCCUUCUGGACUGACACUGACGCUGAGGUGCGAAAGCGUGGGUAGCAAACAGGAUUAGAUACCCCGGUAGUC